rnacentral:rRNA from 1 species
GAACAGAGGUGGCAAACGUUGUUCGGAAUUACUGGGCGUAAAGCGCGUGUAGGCGGCUAAGUAAGUCGGGCGUGAAAUCCCACGGCUCAACCGUGGAAGUGCACUCGAAACUGCAUAGCUAGAGUCCUGGAGAGGAAGGUGGAAUGCUUGGUGUAGAGGUGAAAUUCGUAGAUAUCAAGCGGAACACCGGUGGCGAAGGCGCCUUCUGGACAGUGACUGACGCUGAGGCAUGAAAGCGUGGGGAGCAAACAGG